UACAGAGGUCUCAAGCGUUGUUCGGAUUCAUUGGGCGUAAAGGGCUCGUAGGCGGCCAACUAAGUCAGACGUGAAAGCCCUCGGCUUAACCGGGGAACUGCGUCUGAUACUGGAUGGCUUGAGAUUGGGAGAGGGAUGCGGAAUUCCAGGUUUAGCGGUGAAAUGCGUAGAUAUCUGGAGGAACACCGGUGGCGAAGGCGGCAUCCUGGACCAACACUGACACUGAGGAGCGACAGCCAGGGGAGCAAACGGG
rnacentral:rRNA from 1 species